rnacentral:rRNA from 1 species
CAACAACUCCUAAAAUGGGGAAAAUAGCAUAUACUCCACAAGAGAAACUACUANNAACAAACAAUUCUUUCAACAACGGAUCUCUUGGNUCUCGCAUCGAUGAAGAGCGCAGCGAAAUGCGAUACCUAGCGUGAAUUGCAACCAUCGUGAAUCAUCCAGUUCUUGAACUCACAUUGCGCCCCUCGGGAUUCCGGGGGGCAUGCCUGUUUGAGCGUCGCUUCCAUCUUGCGCGUGCGCAGAGUUNGGGGAGCGGAUCGCACGACGUGUACAGAGCGUCUGAGCUGCGACUCUCCUGAAAGGGAGCGAAGCUGGNCUAGCGAACUAAACUUUUUUUCAGGGACGCUUGGUGAUCGAGAACGAGUGUUGCUAGACAACAAAAAGCUCGACCUCUAAUCAAGUAGGAAUACCCGCUGAACUUANCNAUAUCGAUAAACGGAGGAA